rfam:Mus musculus chromosome 1, GRC primary reference assembly.
CAGAUGAUACUUUUAGGGAUUAUUUCUAUAGUUCAUUACUAGAGAAGUUUCUCUGACUGUGUAGAGCACCAAAAAUACCUUGGUGUGACUCUAACUAAGCAAGUAAAGGA